CUAAUUCAGCAUGUGUUAUCAAUGAUCUAUCCUAAUUAUCGUUUACCUCCCCACAGGUUAAUUAAGGUGCUGAGUAAUGUGGUUUUCACUUUUGCCACAUAGCAGGGUCACAGCAGCUUUGUCUGUAAUCAGAUUUACCCGUCUGUGACUAUUUCCAAAAGAAGUCCCUGGAGUGAUUCAAGAAGUCACUUGAAAUGAUUCCAUGAAGAGAGAAUGGGAUAACUAUAAUAUUUACUUCUUCCUGUUUGCCAGGCCAAAAGGAGCUGGAAAGGAAAGGAGGAAUGCAAGCAGGUAUUCAGGAGUGCUGCUCCUCAUGUCAGGACAUUUUCUGCCACCAGCCCACCAGGACAGCUGGUGACAUUUCACUGGGGAUGUUCCAGAGCCUUCUGGCCACAAUCCUGUGCUCUGGGAUGACCUUGCUGGAGCAGGGACCAUGGACCCACUGUGGCCCAUUCUGGGAUUCUGUGAAACCAAGGCCAGCCAAGGACUGGAGGAGAGUUCCCAUUCCCUUGAAAUUCCCUCAUCCUAGUCCAGGCUUGGGGGAUUGCUGGACUGGAACAGAAUAGGCUGCUCAACCCUUGUCGUGAGAGGACUCAGCGCCUUGGAAUUACAGCUGGGAAAUGCCUUUGGAAAAACAGAGGAUGUGCUGGAGGAAGAUAGUGUUGUCUCUCUGGCCUGGCAGGUUUGCAUAGGUUCUGUGGGACUUUUCUUCUGACAUCUCAUCUCUUGUGAGCUCAUCUCUUAUGGUCUGCAACAGGGAACAAGAGUUUCCUAACCCUUUAGCAGCUGUGAGAUGGAGGAUGGGAUUUUUCCAAAGCACACACCCUGUGAACUGCCCUUCUGUGGAAAUAAGUGGUGAGCAGUCUCAAUUUUUGUGGGAUCAGGGUCAGAGCAACAACAGGAUUUUUGUAGAAUCCCACAGAUCAAGCCAAGAUUUGAGCACUCACCAUCCUGAAUUCUCUUUAAGGACAAGAAGGGAAAUCCCAACAGGAGACCCCAAAGGAACAUAACAUUUUCCCUGCUCAUUUCAGCACACAGUGUGGGAGCAGAGGCCUCUUGUGAACUUGCCUGAAUGCUCCUACCUCUGUUUGUUGUGCAAAAGAUGGAAUCUGAACAAAAAUGGGUUUUCUCAGAUAUAUCCAUGUGUGAUCUUGAGUUAAAUGUCUUGAAGUAUCAGGGCAUUUUAUGAAUCACCUUUGCUCUAGAGUGCAGACAGUGACAUUGGUCAUAGAAGGAACAGAUUUCUCCCAAAAUAAUCACAAUAACAAUCAUAAUGAAAGGGACCUUAAAGCCCAUCCCAUCCCACCCCCUGCCAUGGCAGGGACACCUUCCACUAGCCCAGGUUGCUCCAACCUGGCCUUGGGCACUUCCAGGAAUCCAGGGGCAGCCAGAGCUUCUGUGGACAACCUGUGCCAGGGCCUCCCCACCCUCACAAGGGAGGAUUCCUUCUUUUCCUGGCCCUGAAAUCCAUGUCACUAGGCUGCAGAGUUAAAAGAAUGGGGAAAAAAACCCAAACCAAGCCAAAAAAAAAACCCCAAACAAACAAACAAAAGCCAAAACUCCAACCCCAACAACAACAAAAAAAAACCCUCAACAAGAAAAACCCAACAAAAAACCCCAAACUGAAGUUCUAUUUCUCUUAGUUAUUUUAAUGAAGAGAUUGGAAAUUUCAGCCUCUGAUCAAUGACAUGGGAGACUGAAACUUGCAGAUGAAGGAAGUGGGUGACUCCUGUCUGAAAUAUUUGUAAUGUAGAUAGAUCAAGGUGGUGCUGAGGGAGGGGGGCAUAAAAUGAUAUAUUUUGCUGAACUAUAAGUCACCAAGUGGUUACUUGAUCAGAAUUUCCACCAGAAUUCAGCCCAGGUUGAUUCAUCUGCCUAAGGUUGUUUCUCCAUUGG